rnacentral:rRNA from 1 species
GGGUUGUGAGGUUAAGCGACUAAGCGUACACGGUGGAUGCCCUGGCAGUCAGAGGCGAUGAAGGACGUGCUAAUCUGCGAAAAGCGCCGGCGAGGUGAUAUGAACCUUUGACCCGGCGAUGUCCGAAUGGGGAAACCCAGUGCAAUCCGUUGCACUAUCGUUAACUGAAUACAUAGGUUAACGAGGCGAACCGGGGGAACUGAAACAUCUAAGUACCCCGAGGAAAAGAAAUCAACCGAGAUUCCCCCAGUAGCGGCGAGCGAACGGGGAGCAGCCCGGAGUCUGAAUCAGCUUGUGUGUUAGUGGAACGGUCUGGAAAGUCCGACGGUACAGGGUGAUAGUCCCGUACACGAAAGCACACUUGCUGUGAACUCGAAGAGUAGGGCGGGACACGUGGUAUCCUGUCUGAAUAUGGGGGGACCAUCCUCCAAGGCUAAAUACUCCUGACUGACCGAUAGUGAACCAGUACCGUGAGGGAAAGGCGAAAAGAACCCCGGCGAGGGGAGUGAAAAAGAACCUGAAACCGUGUACGUACAAGCAGUGGGAGCCUCUUUAUGGGGUGACUGCGUACCUUUUGUAUAAUGGGUCAGCGACUUAUAUUCUGUAGCAAGGUUAACCGUAUAGGGGAGCCGAAGGGAAACCGAGUCUUAACUGGGCGUUAAGUUGCAGGGUAUAGACCCGAAACCCGGUGAUCUAGCCAUGGGCAGGUUGAAGGUUGGGUAACACUAACUGGAGGACCGAACCGACUAAUGUUGAAAAAUUAGCGGAUGACCUGUGGCUGGGGGUGAAAGGCCAAUCAAACCGGGAGAUAGCUGGUUCUCCCCGAAAGCUAUUUAGGUAGCGCCUCGUGAACUCAUCUUCGGGGGUAGAGCACUGUUUCGGCUAGGGGGCCAUCCCGGCUUACCAACCCGAUGCAAACUACGAAUACCGAAGAAUGUUAUCACGGGAGACACACGGCGGGUGCUAACGUCCGUCGUGAAGAGGGAAACAACCCAGACCGCCAGCUAAGGUCCCAAAGUCAUGGUUAAGUGGGAAACGAUGUGGGAAGGCACAGACAGCCAGGAUGUUGGCUUAGAAGCAGCCAUCAUUUAAAGAAAGCGUAAUAGCUCACUGGUCGAGUCGGCCUGCGCGGAAGAUGUAACGGGGCUAAACCAUGCACCGAAGCUGCGGCAGCGACACUAUGUGUUGUUGGGUAGGGGAGCGUUCUGUAAGCCGUUGAAGGUGUGCUGUGAGGCAUGCUGGAGGUAUCAGAAGUGCGAAUGCUGACAUAAGUAACGAUAAAGCGGGUGAAAAGCCCGCUCGCCGGAAGACCAAGGGUUCCUGUCCAACGUUAAUCGGGGCAGGGUGAGUCGACCCCUAAGGCGAGGCCGAAAGGCGUAGUCGAUGGGAAACAGGUUAAUAUUCCUGUACUUGGUGUUACUGCGAAGGGGGGACGGAGAAGGCUAUGUCAGCCGGGCGACGGUUGUCCCGGUUUAAGCAUGUAGGCGGAGGUUCCAGGUAAAUCCGGUACCUUGUUAACGCUGAGGUGUGAUGACGAGGCACUACGGUGCUGAAGUGAUAAAUGCCCUGCUUCCAGGAAAAGCCUCUAAGCAUCAGGUAACACGAAAUCGUACCCCAAACCGACACAGGUGGUCAGGUAGAGAAUACCAAGGCGCUUGAGAGAACUCGGGUGAAGGAACUAGGCAAAAUGGUGCCGUAACUUCGGGAGAAGGCACGCUGAUAUGUAGGUGAAGCCCCUGCGGGCGGAGCUGAAAUCAGUCGAAGAUACCAGCUGGCUGCAACUGUUUAUUAAAAACACAGCACUGUGCAAACACGAAAGUGGACGUAUACGGUGUGACGCCUGCCCGGUGCCGGAAGGUUAAUUGAUGGGGUUAGCGGCAACGCGAAGCUCUUGAUCGAAGCCCCGGUAAACGGCGGCCGUAACUAUAACGGUCCUAAGGUAGCGAAAUUCCUUGUCGGGUAAGUUCCGACCUGCACGAAUGGCGUAAUGAUGGCCAGGCUGUCUCCACCCGAGACUCAGUGAAAUUGAACUCGCUGUGAAGAUGCAGUGUACCCGCGGCAAGACGGAAAGACCCCGUGAACCUUUACUAUAGCUUGACACUGAACACUGGUCCUUGAUGUGUAGGAUAGGUGGGAGGCUUUGAAGCGUGGACGCCAGUCUGCGUGGAGCCAACCUUGAAAUACCACCCUUUAAUGGCUGGUGUUCUAACGUAGACCCGUAAUCCGGGUUGCGGACAGUGUCUGGUGGGUAGUUUGACUGGGGCGGUCUCCUCCCAAAGAGUAACGGAGGAGCACGAAGGUUGGCUAAUCCUGGUCGGACAUCAGGAGGUUAGUGCAAUGGCAUAAGCCAGCUUGACUGCGAGCGUGACGGCGCGAGCAGGUGCGAAAGCAGGUCAUAGUGAUCCGGUGGUUCUGAAUGGAAGGGCCAUCGCUCAACGGAUAAAAGGUACUCCGGGGAUAACAGGCUGAUACCGCCCAAGAGUUCAUAUCGACGGCGGUGUUUGGCACCUCGAUGUCGGCUCAUCACAUCCUGGGGCUGAAGUAGGUCCCAAGGGUAUGGCUGUUCGCCAUUUAAAGUGGUACGCGAGCUGGGUUUAGAACGUCGUGAGACAGUUCGGUCCCUAUCUGCCGUGGGCGCUGGAGAAUUGAGGGGGGCUGCUCCUAGUACGAGAGGACCGGAGUGGACGCAUCACUGGUGUUCGGGUUGUCAUGCCAAUGGCACUGCCCGGUAGCUAAAUGCGGAAGAGAUAAGUGCUGAAAGCAUCUAAGCACGAAACUUGCCCCGAGAUGAGUUCUCCCUGAGAC